rnacentral:rRNA from 1 species
AAGGGGAGCAAUCCCUGAGUAAAGUGGCGACCGGGUGAGUAACACGUGACUAACCUACCCUCGAGUGUGGAAUAACAUCGGGAAACCGAUGCUAAUACCGCAUAACAUCGCAAGAUCAAAGGAGCAAUCCGCUUGAGGAGGGGGUCGCGGCUGAUUAGCUAGUUGGCGGGGUAACGGCCCACCAAGGCGAAGAUCGGUAGCCGGCCUGAGAGGGCGCACGGCCACACUGGAACUGAAACACGGUCCAGACUCCUACGGGAGGCAGCAGUGGGGAAUUUUGCGCAAUGGGCGAAAGCCUGACGCAGCGACGCCGCGUGGGGGAUGAAGGCCUUCGGG